GACGAACGCUGGCGGCGUGCUUAACACAUGCAAGUCGAACGGAAAGGCCCAGCUUGCUGGGUGCUCGAGUGGCGAACAGGUGAGUAACACGUGGGUGAUCUGCCUCUAACUUCGGGAUAAGCUUGGGAAACUGGGUCUAAUACCGGAUAGGACAAUCGUUUAGUGUCGGUUGUGGAAAGUUUUUUCGGUUAGGGAUGAGCCCGCGGCCUAUCAGCUUGUUGGUGGGGUAAUGGCCUACCAAGGCGUCGACGGGUAGCCGGCCUGAGAGGGUGGACGGCCACAUUGGGACUGAGAUACGGCCCAGACUCCUACGGGAGGCAGCAGUGGGGAAUAUUGCACAAUGGGCGCAAGCCUGAUGCAGCGACGCCGCGUGGGGGAUGACGGCCUUCGGGUUGUAAACCUCUUUCGACAGGGACGAAGCUUUGGUGACGGUACCUGUAUAAGAAGCACCGGCUAACUACGUG
rnacentral:rRNA from 1 species